GGAUGUGAGGGCGAUCUGGCUGCAACAUCUGUCACCCCAUUGAUUGCCAGGGUUGAUUUGGCUGAUCUGGCUGGCUAGGCAGGUGUCCCCUUCCUCCCUCACCGCUCCACGUGCGUCCCUCCCGAAGCUGCGCGCUCGGUGGAAGAGGACGACCAUCCCAGAUAGAAGGAGUGUACCGUUCUUCGGUCAAGGGUAUACGAUAGCUGCGCUCCCCUGCUAGAACCUCCAAACAAGCACUAUGCAUAACUCAGGAAAAAGCUAGUACAGUUGUACCUUGGU